rnacentral:rRNA from 1 species
AAUGGGCGCAAGCCCGAUGCAGCCAUGCCGCGUGUGUGAUGAAGGCCUUAGGGUUGUAAAACACUUUCAUCGGUGAAGAUAAUGACGGUAGCCGAAGAAGAAGCCCCGGCUAACUCCGUGCCAGCAGCCGCGGUAAUACGGAGGGGGCAAGCGUUGUUCGGAAUUACUGGGCGUAAAGCGCACGUAGGCGGACUGAUCAGUUGGGGGUGAAAUCCCGAGGCUUAACCUCGGAACUGCCCUCAAUACUGUCAGUCUUGAGAUCGGAAGAGGUGAGUGGAAUUCCUAGUGUAGAGGUGAAAUUCGUAGAUAUUAGGAAGAACACCAGUGGCGAAGGCGGCUCACUGGUCCGAUACUGACGCUGAGGUGCGAAAGCGUGGGGAGCGAACAGGAUU